UCCGCAUCAAUUGUUGAUCUGCCUUUACGGGCCUGUUACUAAGGAAGUUUUGAUUUUAUCGUGCUAAUAUUGGUAUACAUUAAUUCUCCUCCUUGCAACGCUGUGCCUAAGUGUGCCACAAAGCCUCUAACUCGUCAUGCACUGGCACGGCGGUUGUUGAUCUUGUAACCGCCUUUUUUUUUACACACAAUAAUACUUUGUUGAUCAAUAUAAACAUUUCUUGAUCAACAUUUACUGCGGAAUCUAGUAUUUUGAAAACGGCGCGGCGCAACGGCAACGUCGCAAAAAUGAAACGGAAGUAUAUUAAAGUGCGAUGGGGCUACGUACGCAAGUUUACUGCGUUUUCUGACUCGGUCUGUCAUUAGUCUAUUUUCGUGCAGUGGACAUGUUUUGCAGUUGGAUUUGGGUUGGUUAGAAAAAUGGAAGACACAACAAGUAGGUGCCUGUUCAAACACCAGGAUUAUGUCACCAAUAUUAGACCCUGAUUCACUAUCUGAAACAUCUUCGAUAGUGCCAAUUGCGAAGGAAAUUAAAAUAAGUACCUAAUACAGAUAAUACUACGUGAUUACGCAAUGAUUCGGGAUCCUGAAUCUGAAACUGAUGUCGAUAUGCAGGGGACAGAGGAUUAUCCGGAAUUAUUAAACAAAGAGAAGAAACCAAGAAAAAAGCGAAGAAGGGCAUGUCGCACCUUAACUUCAACCCAAAAACUCGAUUCCAAAACUGAUACACAGGAUUUUUCUCCCAGUGAUGGCUCAGAUUUUGACCCGGAUUCAGCCAGUCGAUUUAGUGAUGACUCAAUGCAUUUUAUUAUUACUUAGCAAUAUGCAUUUGUAAGAGAACAACUCCUCGAACUGCUGCAUGACACUUGCAGUCGAGGGUACCUUGCAAAUGCAUACUGUUGAGUGACACCGUCUGCCGUUCCCGCCUGCCGCUGCCAUCGCUGUCUUAUGUGUUUAAACGUGUUAUGCUUAAGUCCAUGUAAUUACCACUAUCCACCGCCCUACUCGGCUGUCAAUGUUGGUAUAAUAAGACCUCAGAUUACGACAAAGUUUUUUCUUGCAUGUCACUCGGAAUGCGUUAGCAGUGGACUGUAGCAAAACACUUAAACAUCUACAAUGGUAACGUUAUGGCGGGUAAAAACACUAUUUUUACAGUUUUGUUACAUUUUUCUGUGAAAAGGGUGUCUUAUUCAUCUACAUAGUGAAAUAAUAAAAAAGCACUUUUAAAAUUGUGUCGCUAACUUCAAACUCGGGUAAAUCCAUUCUGCUUUAAGGUUGAUUAUGUAUAAUAGUUAUUUG